GACGAACCGUGCGAACGUUGUUCGGAAUCACUGGGCUUAAAGGGCGCGUAGGCGGCCGAGCGGGUCGUGGGUGAAAUCCCCCAGCUUAACUGGGGAAGUGCUUACGAUACCACUGCGGCUGGAGGAAGGAAGGGGCAGCGGGGAACUGUCGGUGGAGCGGUGAAAUGCGUUGAUAUCGACAGGAACGCCGAUGGCGAAAGCACGCUGCUGGUCCUUUUCUGACGCUGAGGCGCGAAAGCCAGGGGAGCAAAGCGGG
rnacentral:rRNA from 1 species